rnacentral:rRNA from 1 species
UACGGAUCUAGGAAAGGUAGAAGGACCCGGUCUUCGGACUGGGAGCGUACACAGGUGCUGCAUGGCUGUCGUCAGCUCGUGUCGUGAGAUGGUUGGGUUAAGUCCCGCAACGAGCGCAACCCUUCUGCCAGUUGCCAACGGGUGAAGCCGGGCACUCUGGCGGGACUGCCAUCGACAAGAUGGAGGAAGGUGGGGAUGACGUCAAGUCAUCAUGGCCCUUAUGUCCAGGGCGACACACGUGCUACAAUGGCCGGCACAGCGGGAAGCGAGGCAGUGAUGCCAAGCGGAUCCCUUAAAGCCGGUCUCAGUUCGGAUUGAAGUCUGCAACUCGACUUCAUGAAGCUGGAAUCGCUAGUAAUCGCAGAUCAGCCAAGCUGCGGUGAAUACGUUCCCGGGCCUU